CCCUGUGCUCACCUCUGCUAGCAAGUGAAGUCCAGCUGGAGGGGAGGAACCGAGCGCGGGGGGGUUCGGUGCACACAAACCUAAAAGUACUGAAAACCUGCAAGUCUUGCCAUCAUAAAUAAGAUCUGGGCCACUGAUGCCACAGAAUCCUGUAACAUGGUUGAUAAGGGCAAGUGCUAAAGACUGAAGCCACAGAACUGCAAAGUGUCGCAUACAGUUGUUGCAAAUGCAGCACAGUUUGCAGUUUUGACAUGAAAAGACACGUCAGCCAGGUAGGAAAGAAAACAACCAAACCCACACCUCUGCCUCCCAUGAGCUUCUUCAGCACGUGGAGCUGCACACUUGCCAAUCAGCCACAGAUCCUUAUCAGCUCUCUGAUGUCCUCUUUGUCGUCUUCCCUCUACAGUCUCCUUUCAAAUCAUUGUACAACCUCUAGAGCGGCAGUAUAAAAACACCACCAUGCUGAACUACUCCACCAGCUGCAAAGCAAUGAUGAACCAGACCCUAGGUCUUGCCUUACCAUCCCAGCCCUAAUGGCUAUAAAACGUCCCCUCCAGCUGUGCUCUAUGAUACACAGUACAGGAAACCCAGGGAGCAUCCUUACCUGGAUAGAGUUCGGCUGCGGCAGCUGCUGCAACAGAGAGGAAGCGUGUUUUCUGUUUGAGGGCUAAGCUCCAAGUUACAACCGCUCUGACGAUGCCUGGCUGUGUGGUUACUCAUGGUCUUCUCUUCACAAAUCAGCUAGCACACCCAACCACCAUCCAUCCUUGGUCAUUGCUUCCUCAUGUUGGAGUCUAGCACAAAAUUACCUCUGCGCUUGGCACCUUUGGAUGAUGGGCGAGUACCACUGCUUCCUCGCUGCCUAAGACUGAUCUCUCAGGAACAGGCUUCAAGCGUGUUGGUGGGGCAAGAUGGAGGAAGCUAGUGCUGCGAAUCUCCCUGGUGCACCAGUUCUGCUGGUUAGUAGAGAUCGGACUGCCUCCUUCGGGGUGCCUGUCCAGCACCUCUCACUGAGUAAGUUCCUCUUUCGUAACUUCCCAAUGAUUGCAUGCACCCUGCUAUGACGGUCUCUCCACUAACACAGAAUCCCUUCCUUAGGUAGGAAAGGGCAGAGACAGGUGGGUCUAGCAACUCAAGCCAGGUUAAACCCAGGGGUAUCACAUAGGACUUCUCAGUAGUUGGAGGAAGGUGUUAACGGAAAAGAGAGAGGAGAAUAAGAAAGUGUGAUUUAACCGUGAGGAGAUCAGUGGUAACAAAACAACCUACCGUGCACUGAGAAGCACAAGAUGUACAUGCUUCUAACCUGUCCCCAUUUUUUGACCUUCGGUGCAUCUUAGUCCUUUCCGUUGUUUCACAUUUAUUGUUUUAUUGACAUCAUCAGUGCUGAACCUGAAGCCACAUUCUUCAAGAGGGCAUGGGGGUGCUGACUUUUUAAAUAAUUCUGCUGGGAGUUGCAGACCUGAGCCUGAAGUCCUCUCUAAACCCAUCAGGACGGGUCUUGGCACUGCAAGUGUCCUCCAGACUGCCCUGCCAGCUUCUUAACCUUGGUUAUGGAAGCUCCCAGCCUCAGGGGGGAAGAGGGAGAGAGGAGGGAAGAUCAGCCUUUGGCUCAGUUCAGUCCUGGAGUUCUCUGCUGAGACUGUCAAGGAGUCUGCUAAUUAGUACUAAGUGUGGUGGCGUUUUCGGGUGACAUGUUCCAACUGUACACAGAGAACUGGGCUGACAGCUCCAAGCUCGGCUGGCAUAGCCCAUGAGAGGCUGAUGCCUUUGUUACAGCUGGAUUCAGUCAAAGCUACAUCUGUCAGGGUAGAGGCUCUGUAUCCUGCUCUGAUCCCCCAAGCCACCCACUUACCCAGCCCUCAUUUCAAGCGUCCUGUGCUGCUAUUUUUCUCAUGUCCCUGAUUUCGGAGUCACUGCCCAUUGCUGGCGCUUGGCCAGGGGACAUGAUGCCACAUGUUUUACCAACUUGGGAAACUACUGUAGGUACGGGAUAGCCAAGAGAUUCUCCCUGCAGGUGGUGGGACAAAUGCAGCUUUCAAGAGGAGCUUUGAAAUUCUCAGUCUCAUGGCAGCUCUGGCUUAAACCCAGAGGCAGCUGGAGGAAGGGUAACAGGGCAGUUAACAACUAGAGAACAUUUGUGAAAAGAAUUUCCUCCAAAAUUGGAGGAAAUAGUAAGUAAUAAGGCCCAGAGGCCACCAUUCGGGCCUUCAAUCAUCUCCUCCAGUGACGUUAACAGCAAAAGCAGCAGGCAGCGUUCCACUCUGCUGAAAACAUGAAACCGGAGGAAGAAGUAACACAGAACAACAGAAGCUGAGAAAGGGAUUUUAGAUCCACUGUUCUGAGCCCAGCACCUGGCACAUGAAACUUAAUCUAGAGAAAUGCAGGAAGCACUAAGGAUCUUUAAAGAGGGCCAUGGGAGAAGAGUGGAAGCUUCCUUAAGACUGUCUAAAGCAAUAAAACCCAGAAAUAAAGAAUGGGAGCAGUAGAGGGGAAAGCAGGUCUGGAAGUUAUUUUGGAUUUAUUUACCUUUCUGCUCAGACAUUUAAAAUACUUUGAAAGCUCAGGCACCUCAUCCCUGAAAGAUCUUACCUUGGCAGCAGAAAGAGGACUGGAUGGGAUAGGCAGACUUUUUACCUUCAUGUGAAUUUCUGCGCAAGGAUCAAAAGUGGCCAUCAGAUGAAAAUCAGGCCAGCAUUUUCAGAUCUGGUCCUACUAGCCAGGUGUUUACACCACCACAGAAACGUAGUGGAGUGAGAGGGGCUAGUGCUAAAGCAUUUCAUUGAGACUGCACUUCACUCAUGCUUAAUGGGUGCUUCCUUUAGAAUAGAGGAGACACUGCUAGUGGGGGACACUGCCAGUCAUUCCCCAGACUUAAAGAUGCCCUAAAUGUUGAGGUGAUUAAGAUGGACAAAUACAGUAGUUGGUGGCAUUUACAACCAAGUGUGAGCAAGACAGUUUUGAGUAUAUUCCAUCUUUACAGUGCCAGAACAGCAAAAGAACUGAAUAGCUUUCUCAAUGGUCAUCACUUGAAACACACAUCCCACCCAGUCUACCUUGGAGUAACCCUAGACAGAUCUCUCAUAUCUUAACAUCCUGAGGAAAAUUGCCUUCAGGUGAGGUCAUGUAACUACCUGCUAAACAAAACUGAUCAGCAGUCCAUAGGGAGCAAACACUCAAACUCUCCAAUCAUCUGCUUUAGCCCUGUUACUCUGCUGCAGCAUAUGGUGCUCCAAUCUGGCUCCAUUCAUCCCACGUCAAGUUGGUGACACACAACUAUAUUCAGUCGUGUGCAUCAUAACUGGCAUGCUUUGACCCACACUGGUAUCAUGGUUCCCCACGUUAAGCAACAUCGGUCCUCCCCUCAUCUGGUGAGGAUGCUACAACCAGAAUGGUUGAGAAGAUCAGAGCAAACCCAAGUGGCUUUGACCAUCCAAGAGCACACUUGCUAGUGAGGUACUCAUUGUGGGCCCACUUGCCCUGCCCACAUUUCUCUGUGAUGUCGAUGUAGUGAGAAGAAUGGUUUCUGACAUCUGCUACGGAACAGUCUCUUAUAACUGAUCUGACCAUGUGUACCUGGCUUUGAUUUGCCAUGCCAGUCCUGGGCCCUUCUGAACCAGUUUUGAAGGGGCUGGGGUCUAUAUGCAGCUAGCCUUCACACUAGAGGUCAAUGAAAGGAUGCCACAUGUGGCUGUGGCCAAAGACAGAUAACAUCACCCAUCACUGACAACUGCCCUGACCAGAUUUGAGGGUGCUCUGAGGGCUCAGCACUUUGCUGAUGAGGUGGUGGCAAAUAAGGCAGGUUCCAGAGCCGAUAAGAAGUGGGAGAGGGGGAAAGAAAGAGUCUCUUGAGCUACUACUGCAGUAGCUUGUGGCAAAGUAAUUUUAAACUUAACCCCUUUGUGACUGGCUCUGCUUUGGAGAACGUAGUUCUUUCAAGUGCCACCAUGCCAACAGGAUUUCUCAGCAAGCUGGAGCAGUAACUGUCAGUGGUAUGACCCUGCAGAGCUUGUUGCCUGCAAGGUAACCAGUAGCCCAAACAAUACCAGGCAACGAAUGAGUUUUUUUAAAAAGCCUUUCCCCUUGAAGGCUGAUACCAAUAUGGAAUUAUCUUAUCCUCAGAGGAAAGAGUUGGGAGUGGAGGCUGGGGCAAUGCAUGGGAGGAAAUGAGCUCAUGCUCUCAUUGGGGUAGUUUUCACCUGGGAGAAAGACAUUCAGCUGAAGAAAUACCUUUCUUUGCCCUGUAGAAAUUCUCAGGUUAGAACUGAGCUGGACUGUGCACAAAGAGAAAGGACUCUCCUUUUCCGAGCGCCAGCAACCAGCCAGGAAUUGUUUUUACCAGUAGCAGAGAGGUGUAGUCAGUGUAUUAUAUAUAAGCUCUCUGGGCCUGUCUUUUUGUUCUGGGUUUGUAUAUGACCUAGCACAGUGGUGGCAUGGUCCAGGCCUGGGAGUUGUAGGUGCUGCCUUAGUAUAAAUAAAACCAGGAUAACCAACAGAUAUUAGAGUUCUGCCCUGCAUAGCUCUCCAUGCACUGUACAAAGAAAGGUGCUAAGAGUAACUUAGCAGAUGGGCAAACUGAUGUGCAGGGAGGUGAAGUUACUUGCCCAAGGCUACACAACAGAUCGAUGGCAAAGCAGGUACCAGACCCCGAAGUCCAAUUCUCAGUCUAGUGCUCUACCCUCAGAAUUAUUCUGCCUCUUGAUAUACAUGAGCCCUCUAACCGCUGGAAGUCCAGUUGGUGAAUCUUAGCAGCAGCAGCAGCCUUGCAAGAUGUCUUCCAUUCACUGGUUUCAGCGAAAAGUUUCACAACAGCUUAUCAGAGCAUUUUGAUUCUCACACUAAGUGCAAACAGGAAGCCCAG